AUAAAUCUGUGUCCAGAAAAGACAUAAAGUUAUUCCAUGGUUUGCAGGGAGGACAUAGGACAAUCUAAAAUGCACCAUUCCGCAUAAUUCAUAACCGCAAUUUUCUUAGUUUUAUCUGCUGCUGGUAAAAAAAUUAGUAUGCCUGUUUUCCAACACAGACUUCUCCUACUCCAGUGACGUUUUAUAUACCAGACUAGGAAUUUCAACCCCUAACCCAUACACGAGACCUCACAGAAGCAAGAAGUCAAGUGGCCCGCCGAUGAAGACAGGAGUGGGCACAUGGUUGGGUCAGUAAGUAAAGUUUGCUUGCCACAGUGAGGGGCAAAAAUAAGGAAAAAAGUGACGGUGCAACACGUUCCAACACAUCUGCAUUGCUGCAGGGACAAGACAAUCUUGUGGAUAGUGGAGGGACCCCUAGUGUGGUAAAACAGAAGUCUCAAACCAUGGAAGGAAUUGUAGUUUGACAACAGCUGAA